AUUGAACGCUGGCGGCAUGCCUUACACAUGCAAGUCGAACGGCAGCACGGGAGCAAUCCUGGUGGCGAGUGGCGAACGGGUGAGUAAUAUAUCGGAACGUGCCCAGUAGUGGGGGAUAGCCCGGCGAAAGCCGGAUUAAUACCGCAUACGACCUACGGGUGAAAGCGGGGGAUCGCAAGACCUCGCGCUAUUGGAGCGGCCGAUGUCAGAUUAGCUAGUUGGUGGGGUAAAAGCCUACCAAGGCGACGAUCUGUAGCUGGUCUGAGAGGACGACCAGCCACACUGGGACUGAGACACGGCCCAGACUCCUACGGGAGGCAGCAGUGGGAAUUUUGGACAAUAGGGGGGCAACCCUGAUCCAGCCAUGCCGCGUGCGGGAGAAGGCCUCGGUUGUAA
rnacentral:rRNA from 1 species